rnacentral:lncRNA from 10 species
AAGAAGCUCAGCAAACCCCAAGUAUAAGACAUAUGGAGAAAACAGUGACAAGACACAUAAUAAAGUGUUCAAAACCAGUGAUAAUGGAGAAAGCUUAAGAGAAAUCAGAUAUGUUACAUAUAGAGGAACAAAGAUAAAGAUGCAGGAGAUUUCUUGGUAGAAACAAUACAAGUGAAAAGACACUGAAACAUCUUAAAAGUACUGCAAGGGGCCAGGAGUGGCAGUGCAUGCCUGUAGUCCCAGCUACUUGGGAGGUUGAGGCAGGAGGAUCCCUUGAGUCCAAAAGUUCUGGGCUGUAGU